GGGACAAACAAACGCUGAAGAUGUAAACAAAGAUGUCUCCUCUGGAAACGUUAACAAACGUUCACUAAUUUAUCUCCACACCGCCGACAGGAGGGUCCGCCAUGAGCUCGUUCGCGGGUCGGAUGAAGGAGUAUCCCACCGUGUCUCUGGACCGGUUUGACCGGGAAAACCUGCAUGCACGCGCCUACUUCCUGUCCCACUGCCACAAAGAUCACAUGAAGGGACUGAAAGGACCAAUACUGAAGAGAAAACUGCACUUCAGUCGAACGGUCCGACUUUACUGCUCCUUCGUGACCAAAGAGCUUCUGCUGAGCAAUCCCAAGUACGCUUUCUGGGAGGAAUACAUCGUUCCCUUAGAGCUGGAGAGCCCGACUCAGAUUUCUCUGGUCGACGAGGCGUCUGGAGAGAAAGAGGAGGUCGUGGUCACGCUGCUCCCUGCAGGACACUGUCCCGGCUCUGUGAUGUUCCUGUUUGAGGGUUCUCAGGGGAACGUGUUGUACACGGGCGACUUCAGGCUGGCGGCCGGAGACGUCUCCAGAAUCGAACAUCUGCACUCGGGCAGCAGAGUGAAGGACAUCCAGAGUGUUUAUCUCGACUCCACCUUCUACGACCCGCGAUUCUACCAGAUUCCAACUCGGGAGGUCUGUCUGAACGGGAUCUCGGAGUUGGCUGGAAACUGGAUCAGUCAGAGUCCGUAUCACGUCGUGUGGCUCAACUGUAAAGCUGCGUACGGAUAUGAGUACCUGUUUACCAAACUGGGAGAGGAGUUCAACACACAGAUUCACGUCAGAAGUUUGGCGAUGUUCCAGAAGAUGCCGGAGAUCCUGAGCUACGUGACCACUGACCGCAGGACGCAGAUCCACGCCUGUCGACACCCGAAGGACGAGGAGUUUUUUCAGGGCAGCCGGCUGCCGUGUGGCUGCACGGCGUCUGACGGGACGCCUCUUCGUAUCAUCAGCAUCAAACCGUCCACCAUGUGGUUCGGAGAGAGAAUGAGGAAAACCAACGUCAUCAUUAAAACGGGAGCGAGUUCCUUCAGAGCCUGCUUCAGCUUCCACUCCUCGUACUCAGAGCUGAAAAGCUUCCUCUCCUACCUGCAGCCAGUCAACAUCUUCCCCAGUGUGAUCCCUCUGGGUCGCACGCUCUCUGAGGUCACACAGAUGUUGAAGCUGAUGUGCAGGAAACAGUCGGAUCAAACUGCGACUGUGUACAAACCUCUGGGAGUCCUCAAACGCUGCAAGGUGGAGCGACCCACGUAUGAUUCAGACAGCGAUGAAGAGCUGUUUGACGAGCUGGACCUGGUGCCAGUGAGGAAGAAGAUGUCGCUACACCAGGAAAUAAAAACCGUGAGUCCUGAGGAAACGGCGCCCCCUGUGUCUAUGGUGGAGUCUUUUCCUCUGACGGUCACGGACACGCAGUCGGCGUAUGUGGACUAUGUGGACUGCACCGAGUCCAACGAUGAAGAGGAGGGCCACGAAGAGGAGGAGGAGGAGGAAAACCUGAUGAAGGAGGAAAAGGACAAAAACGCGUCUGUGGUCGAAGGAGGUGGCUCCUCUAAUCCUCCGAAGUGGGAGGAUUUCUUCACCAUGGAGACGCUGAUUGACAGCCAGGGCAGCCUCAGCAGCCAAUUACAAUCCUGCUGCUCCGUCCCAAGCCCCACCCCCUCCAAAAUGACCGGAUCACAAACGCCCGACCUGUUCAGCGACGACGAGCAAACGCCCGACAACCACGACGACAACUUCAGUCUGACCCUGUCCGCCUCGCUGUCCAACCAUUCCUCCCAGAACCAGGAGUCGUCUCUGCCCGACACUUUAAUCCUCCAAUCAGAGCCGGCGGGCCAACAGGGAGACCCGAAGAGCAACGACCAAUCAGAAGCAGUGGGGCGGGAACAAGAAGACUCGAAGAGCAACGACCAAUCAGAAGCAGCGGGGCGGGAACAAGGAGACCCGAAGAGCAACGACCAAUCAGAAGGAGCGGGGCGGGAACAAGAAGACUCGAGGACGAAUGUCGUGUUUCAGGAGAAGGAGAGAGAUGUCCCAUCAGAGGUGGAGGAGCUCUCAGAGUCUCAGGUGUCGUCGGACUUUGACGUCCCCUGCACGCCCGAGUCCAAAGUGCCACAACCCGACGAACUGCUGCAUCUGUACAGGAAGCUGGCGUCAGGAGAGGAAGUGCUCAUCCGAAAGGGAAGUCAGGGCUCAACGUGAAGAAACGUGAAGAAACGUUAACAGUGAGCUGUCGCCUCCAUCUCCCUCGAGAGAGAUCUGCCAUCACCGGCGGUUUCACUUUAUCAAUCCCCAAAGGAGAGGAAGACGCACCGACGUCAUCUCACAGCAGGAGGCGUUCACUGUCCUGGAGACCAAGACGAGAGUCUGCAUGUCCUCACGACAAACUGAACCACAGUGAUAACCAGCUGAUGGACGCCUCAGCGUCGCCUCCACAACAUGCCAACGAUGCAGCGGAGUCACUGGAAAACCUACA